GGGAAAUUUAUUUCAAGCUUGCUGGCAGGUUAGGGUUUAGUUUUACCCUUAUUCUUAACUCAUCGCUAAUAUCUACAUUUAAAGAAAAAUAGAUAAAUUGUUUUAUUUAAUUUAGUUUUUUCAAUUCUCAAGGAAGAUAAGUGAAGCAAUGUGUAAAAUUAUUGAAGAAUUAGCAGGUAAAGCCUCUUUGUGCUAGUUUCCUCCUUUUUUAAAAUAAAAUUUUAAAAAAAAUCUGCUUAUUGGUAAUAUUUUGAUAUUUUGUUAUAUCAGUUGCAGGUGUCUUGUUUACUGGAGUUGCUGCUUUCAUAAACAAUUUUGAGUGAGUUCUUACAUUUUGCUAAUUAUAAUUAAAAUGUUUUGGUAGUGCAUAUUUGAAUCUACUUAGUUGGUUUCGAGUUAAUUCAGUUCAUUUUAUUCCUUUUAUUUUUGGUAGAUAAGAAAACGGUAAAAUUGUCUUCAUGUGACCUAUAGGUCACGGAUUCGAGCCAUAAAAUCAGUCAUGAAUAUAUACAGUGCGGGCCUUGCCCGGAUCAAUGCAUGAGCUUCGUGCACCGGGCUAUUCUUUAUUUAAGAAAAUCAAUCAUAGAGCAAUUUCAAUUCACUUAGACAUAUUUUCUUUCAGAUGGGGAUCUUUUAAAUUUGAAUAUAAUAUAUGUCUCUUUCACACACAAUUUUAACUAAUUUUCGUUUUAAAUUUAAUUAACAUGUUGACCUUAUUUUGUUCUGAUUAAUUACAGUAUGAGAAAGGCAUAUGAUAAAACCAUGGGAAGGGCUCAUAGAGAGUAUACCACGUAAGUUGGCAUAUAAUAUGUAUAAUUUAAUUUUAAUUUUACUUUCUUCUAUUGUGGUUGUUUACAAAAAGUUUUUAAAAAAAUCAAUUCUAUCAAUUAAGCUAUAAUUUAAUUAAAAUAUGUAUGCAGGUGGAUCAAUGGUGAGGAAAAGACUAGAGGAACACUGGCCAAG
rnacentral:lncRNA from 1 species